rnacentral:rRNA from 1 species
AUACGGAGGGUGCGAGCGUUAAUCGGAAUUACUGGGCGUAAAGCGUACGUAGGCGGUUGGUUAAGUUAGAUGUGAAAGCCCCGGGCUUAACCUGGGAACUGCAUUUAAAACUGGCGAACUAGAGUUGAGUAGAGGGGAGUGGAAUUUCAGGUGUAGCGGUGAAAUGCGUAUAGAUCUGAAGGAACACCAGUGGCGAAGGCGACUCCCUGGACUCGAACUGACGCUGAGGUACGAAAGCGUGGGUAGCAAACGGGAUUAGAAACCCUGGUAGUCC